UGGGAAGGGAAGCUUCACACUGCCUUUCGGAGCAGCCCCAUCUCAACUCCUACUUUCGUACAAGUAGGAGGGGGUGGGGAUCCCUCAGCUGGGAAGGGAGGCUUCCCGUUGCCUUACUGAGAGAUCCCUGCCCCGCUCCUGCUUGCAUGCAAGCAGGAGUUGGGAGGCUGCUCUGAUAGGCAGCAUGAAGCCUCCCUUCACA